rnacentral:rRNA from 1 species
UACGGGGGGGGCAAGCGUUGUUCGGAAUUACUGGGCGUAAAGGGCUCGUAGGUGGCCAACUAAGUCAGACGUGAAAUCCCUCGGCUUAACCGGGGAACUGCGUCUGAUACUGGAUGGCUUGAGUUUGGGAGAGGGACGCGGAAUUCCAGGUGUAGCAGUGAAAUGCGUAGAUAUCGUGAGGAAGACCGGUGGCGAAGGCGGAUCUCUGGACAGUUCCUGACGCUGAGGCGCGAAGGCCAGGGGAGCAAACGGG